rnacentral:rRNA from 1 species
UACGGGGGGGGUAAGCGUUGUUCGGAAUUACUGGGCGUAAAGGGCUCGUAGGCGGCCAACUAAGUCAUACGUGAAAUCCCUCAGCUUAACUGGGGAACUGCGUGUGAUACUGGAUGGCUUGGAUUUGGGAGAGGGAUGCGGAAUUCCUGGUGUAGCGGUGAAAUGCGCAGAUAUCAGGAGGAACACCGGUGGCGAAGGCAGCUCGCUGGGACGUUACUGACGCUGAGACGCGAAAGCGUGGGGAGCAAACAGG